rnacentral:rRNA from 1 species
UACAGAGGGUGCAAGCGUUGUUCGGAAUUAUUGGGCGUAAAGGGGGUGUAGGCUGCUUGUUAAGUCUUCUGUGAAAUCUACGGGCUCAGCCUGUAAAGUGCAGAGGAAACUGGCGAGCUUGAGUGUCGGAGAGGAUAGGGGAAUACCCGGUGUAGAGGUGAAAUUCGUAGAGAUCGGGUGGAACACCGGUGGCGAAGGCGGCUCUCUGGACCGAUACUGACGCUGAGGCGCGAAAGCGUGGGGAGCAAACAGG